AUUCCAGCUCCAAUAGCGUAUAUUAAAGUUGUUGCAGUUAAAACGCUCGUAGUCGGAUUUCGGGGCGGCUUCGCCGGUCUGCCGAUGGGUAUGCACUGGCGAGGGCGUCCUUCCUUCCGGAGACUGGCCCUACUCUUAACUGAGCGGGGUCGGGAGUCGGAUCGUUUACUUUGAAAAAAUCAGAGUGUUUCAAGCAGGCAUAUCGUUCUUGCAUGGAUUAGCAUGGGAUAAUGAAAUAGGACUUUGGUGCUAUUUUGUUGGUUUCGAACACCGAAGUAAUGAUUAACAGGGACAGUCAGGGGCACUCGUAUUCCGCCGAGAGAGGUGAAAUUCUCAGACCAGCGGAAGACGAACUACUGCGAAAGCAUUUGCCAGGGAUGUUUUCAUUA
rnacentral:rRNA from 1 species